GAUGAACGCUGGCGGCGUGCCUAAUACAUGCAAGUCGAGCGAACUGAUUAGAAGCUUGCUUCUAUGACGUUAGCGGCGGACGGGUGAGUAACACGUGGGCAACCUGCCUGUAAGACUGGGAUAACUUCGGGAAACCGAAGCUAAUACCGGAUAGGAUCUUCUCCUUCAUGGGAGAUGAUUGAAAGAUGGUUUCGGCUAUCACUUACAGAGGAGCCCGCGGUGCAUUAGCUAGUUGGUGAGGUAACGGCUCACCAAGGCAACGAUGCAUAGCCGACCUGAGAGGGUGAUCGGCCACACUGGGACUGAGACACGGCCCAGACUCCUACGGGAGGCAGCAGUAGGGAAUCUUCCGCAAUGGACGAAAGUCUGACGGAGCAACGCCGCGUGAGUGAUGAAGGCUUUCGGGUCGUAAAACUCUGUUGUUAGGGAAGAACAAGUACGAGAGUAACUGCUCGUACCUUGACGGUACUUAACCAGAAAGCCACGGCUAACUACGUGCCAGCAGCCGCCGUAACAC
rnacentral:rRNA from 1 species